rnacentral:rRNA from 1 species
GAUGAACGCUGGCGGCGUGCUUAACACAUGCAAGUCGAACGAAACACCUUAUUUGAUUUUCUUCGGAACUGAAGAUUUGGUGAUUGAGUGGCGGACGGGUGAGUAACGCGUGGGUAACCUGCCCUGUACAGGGGGAUAACAGUCAGAAAUGACUGCUAAUACCGCAUAAGACCACAGCACCGCAUGGCGCAGGGGUAAAAACUCCGGUGGUACAGGAUGGACCCGCGUCUGAUUAGCUGGUUGGUGAGGUAACGGCUCACCAAGGCGACGAUCAGUAGCCGGCUUGAGAGAGUGAACGGCCACAUUGGGACUGAGACACGGCCCAAACUCCUACGGGAGGCAGCAGUGGGGAAUAUUGCACAAUGGGGGAAACCCUGAUGCAGCGACGCCGCGUGAGUGAAGAAGUAUUUCGGUAUGUAAAGCUCUAUCAGCAGGGAAGAAAAUGACGGUACCUGACUAAGAAGCCCCGGCUAACUACGUGCCAGCCGCCGCAGUAACAC